UUACGGUCAUAUCACGUUGAAACACUAGCUCAUGUACGAUCAUCGAAGUUAAGCAACGUCGAGCUUGAUCAUUACCUAGAUGGGUGACUGCUAUGGAAUACCAGGUGCUGUA